GCUGCUCUGGCGGCAAGUGUCCCCUCCUCACCAGGUCCGGCUGCUCUGGCGGCAAGUGUCCCCUCCUCACCAGGUCCGGCUGCUCUGGCGGCAAGGUGUCCCCUCCUCGUCUGCAAGAAAGUGUAACAGGCAGGUCUUGGUUCCCCUCCCUCCCCCAAUUGCAUCUUCAGUUCAACUUUGUUCUGGACGUGAUCAAGACUUAACGAGUUGGAGUCCAUCUAUCCGAAUAUGAAUUCCUGGAUGUAAUGGAGCCCAACUUAAAUACAGUGUAAUAAUCUGAGUCGGAUUCCUUUUUCAGUUCAUGUACAUACUGGUGUAUCUUGGUAUUAGAAGUUUAAAAGAUUUUCAUACUAAUAUGCAUGUGGUAGUAAAUACAUAUAGGAUGACAGAUAACAGAUAUUAGGCAUGUGUAUGGUCAGAAAUUAAAGUUUCUUUAUAAUAUUGUAUUUGUAUUUCAUUAAAUAUCAAACUGAUUCGAAAUUCAGUUUGGUCUCGGUACAUACCAAAUUAUUCCUAUUUGGUUUCAGUAUAUGCCACAUUAACCAGAAUUUCCUCUA